CGGGGAGAAAGGCGAGGUCGCCUGUUUUUUCCCGGAAGAAACAGGCGACCAGGCCCGAGUCCCGCAGAGGCGUGAGGGAAACCUCGCGAGACUUCACUCGGGGUGCGGCGGAGUCCGGAGGCGGGAACCGCGGAGAGAUGUUCCGCUCAAGGACUUUACCACGAGAACAGCUCAACAGCCGCCAACCUCCACGGCCUCGGGGACCACCCACCAGACAGAAGUUUCUGGGCCCGAUUGGUUGAAAUUGCCAACAGCCAGCCCGUUGGGGCGGAAGCGUCGCUUGUCUUCUGUUUUCAUUGGUCAACGUUCAUGUCAAUCAAAUACACUUUUUUUUUGGACCCUGCUGUCAGUUGGAUUGGCUAGCUCCUUUCCCGAAUCCUUGCGCGCCUUAGAGUCACCACGCGGACCCAGGCAGGCAAGGCGAGGCUCCACGGUGACCUGCUGCUGGAGUUCCAAGCACGCGUGCACAGCGUCGACAGCGCAAGCAGCCUGCUCAGAAUGAGGGAGCAGUUAUUGAGGAACCAGGUGUGCGAAAACUGUACAAUAUUGGGUGGCCGGUGCACCUGAGAAACUUAAAUCUAAAGGCAGCAUUCUUUAUUCUUAGUUCAGUAAGGACCAAGCUAAGCGUUCUCCCCUCGUACAACUUGCCCAAGUGAUUUUAAGGCAGACUGGAUUAGGCUUUCCAAUUUGUUGAUUUGUUAGGUCAUUUACAGUGAGGCUAUCUAGACCUCCCCUUUCUUCUGCCUUUGUGUGCAUCUGAUCUUCACUCCCCACCAAGCCUCUUGAAGCUUACGGAUCAUCAAGCUGCUAGACUGACUGUCUUCAAGGCCAGGAUUCCGUUUACAUGAAUAUUUGUACCAAAUAAAAUAUCUGGAACUUA